rnacentral:SRP_RNA from 1 species
CGUGCUAGGCGGGGAGUUAGCGGUGUCCUGUACCUGCAAUCCGCUUCAGCAGGGCUUAAUCCCUUCAGGAGGCCGGACACGUUAGUCACUACGUCGUAGAUACGGUGUUGAGAGUUGGGUCCUGCGCGGCGAGGCCUCGUGAACCCCGUCAGAUCCGGAAGGAAGCAGCGGUAAGUGAGUCACCUCGGGUGACGCAGGUUGGCCUGGCUCGAGUCGUUAUCUACGCGCAUACUCGCGUUGUUCGAACGAAAUGAAGGUGCACG